GUUCAGUGUUUAUGCUGAGUUAAAUCAACUGAAUGUUCUUCAUCUGUGACGGGCUGUUUUGAGGAUUUUUAUGUGCUGAGGAAUUAAGAUGGAUGAAAGGUUUUAUUGGCCGUAGCAGCAACAAGAUGUGUAAGAUGAUGUCCUGUAUAUUAUAUGGCAAAUGGCUUACCAUUUUGAACAAAAGACUAUUUUAUGUUGCUUCUGGAUGCUAGCCAAUCAAGCAGUGUCACCAAAGCUAGGUGUUUGCUGAGAUUGGAAGUUUUCAAGACCCAACUGGACAAAGACCUAAGCAACCUAGUCUCAGCUCAGUGUUCACCCUGCUUUGAGCAGGAGGGUUGGACUGGAUGA
rnacentral:lncRNA from 1 species